GGUUCAAUAGUGUAGUGGCUAUCACGCUCGCCUCACACGCGAAAGGUCCUGGGUUCGAACCCCAGUUGAACCA
rfam:Lingula anatina scaffold530, whole genome shotgun sequence.